UGCAGCACGCAGGGGAGUCCCAACCCAAGGGGACUGAGAGGCGGACGGGGAGUGAUCCCGGUGACGCGACCCUUUGAACCUGACCCAGUUGAUACUGGCGGAGGAAGCUAGGACAGUCGCGCA
rnacentral:ncRNA from 2 species